GUCAACGGUCAUGUACUGUCUCCUGGGUUGGGUCCCAGCAGUUCUAAUGAGGCGGAGUCUCACCACAGUGGCCCAAGGUGAGUGUAUCGCCUCGUGUACACCGGUUGCAUCAAACUGUGUUCCGGCAGAAGUCUGUUUAUUUAAUUGUGAGGCAAGCCACACUGCUGCGACUCCUCUGCCGGACUAGGUUGUGGUGCGUGGCACUGCGUGCAGUAUGCCACAUGCGUUGGUUUGCCGUGCAAUACCAGAAGUAAACCACACAAAAAGUUCCUAAUGUGUAGCAUGAUACUUUUUGUUGUGAUGCGGUGGAUGGAUUGUGAAGACUACGUGAGAUGUACCAUACAGCAAUAACCUGUGUGCACGCAGCAUUAGAUUGUUUUACCUAUUUUGUUUUAUCAGAUUCUCUCAUGAUCAUUUUGAUGUACAGUAAUUCAUGAAUGCUAUUGAUGUAUUUUUCUACAGCAAAGAGGUGUAUAGUGCCAUCCCCAGCCAGGACAACCCGUCUCAGAGCCUCCACAGUGCCGACAGCGAUAGCCACCUCUCCCCAACCCCAGAGAAAAGGACUAAAACUCACUCUGACCCCCUCCCUCACCACCCACCAUCAACCACUGCUAACCCGCCAUCCUCAUUGGCCGAUGUUGGCGCUAAGCCACCUACUGACACCAUGAGGGAAUCCAGCUCCACCUCCAACCCUGGGGCCUUACCCCUCCAGCCCACCCCCCACUCCCUCAGAACCCUAGUCUCUCCAGCCUUCUCCCAGCCCCUCUCUGGACCAGGCCAGGGGACCACAAAAGGCCUCGGAGCACCACACAGCAGAUCUGGGGAGGACGUCAGGGAGACUGAGAACAGCCCAGCAGCAGGGCUGGAUGGACGGCUGGACGGCAAGCCCAGCUCCAGAGAGGGAAGAGACCGGAUGUAUUCUUCUGAUCGGGAUAAGGGGAGAGACCGACUAUAUUCUUCGGACCGCGAUAGGGAUGGAGACCGGCUGUACUCUUCUGACCGGGAUAAAGACGGAGAAAGGAAUGGGUACCACCGUGACAUGAGCCGUGAACGCAACUGGGACCGUGACUCAGACCGCUAUCGACACCGGCGGGACCACAGAGAUCGAGAACACCACCGAGACCGAGAACACCACCGGUCGUACCGUGAUCGCUCGGCCAGCCGGGACAGACACUGGGAGUCAGAGCGUCGCUGGGAGAGGAACGCCUACCACCCCAGGGACAGGGACCGCUGCCACCACCACUACCACAGACCCAGAGAGAACAGGGAGAGGGACCGGAGGGAGCACAGCCUCCCCCAUAGAGAGGAGCCUCACGGACGCUCCAGGUGGAGGGGGGAGAGGUGUGAAGGUAAGGACAGGGGUGAUGGUAAGAGGGGUUACUACCCUUCACAGGAGGAGACCCCCCUGCCCACCCCACUAAGCUCCAACACCAAACCCAGUCAGCCCCCCACUAGCCCAGACCUCUCCCCAGCCAGACCAGCUCUGGAGAAACGACCCGAUCCUCUGAGAGAGGACAGCGUUGAGGAGCGUCGGGCCAAGAAACACAAGAAGAGCAAGAAGAAGAAGAAGUCCAAGGACAAAGCUAGGCGUCGAGAGAAUGGGACCUCUGAUGUGGAUUCCUCUGACAGGGCUGCCGAUGGCAGCAGGUCCUCCAAACACAAGAAGAAGAAGAAGAGGAGGCACGACACUGACAUGGAGGACGAGAAGUCCCGCUCUACCCAGAGUUCCGAGGGGCACCGUGACCCCAACGCCCCCCGGGAGAGUCGCAGGGCGAGCAGCAGUGACGAGGAGAGGGCGAGCAGGAAGCGACGUUACCAGGACGAUGAUGGCUCUGACAAUAGCUACCCCGAGGUCUGUAUGCAAACGUAA
rnacentral:lncRNA from 1 species